UCUCCAAUUCUCCAUAUCAGAACCCUCUCUUUCAUUUGUCUCAGCCCCUUCGCUCUCUAAAAUAUGAGAAAUGCUCUCAUGUCUCUAACCUUAAGCCCAUCGCCCAGUCUCACAACCCAUCCAUUCCAUAGCCGCUCCAAUCUCGCUCUAAUGUAGUCAUUCCUGCUGCAACUAAGACCCCAGCAGCAACAUACACCCCCCCCCCCCCAAAUCACUGUAAACCCAGCAUACCAGAGUGAGCUGAGAAGAGGGGAUAUCGAAGGAACUUUGAGCUGACGUCAGUACCAUGGAAGAGACAACGGAAUUGCUACAAAAUCUCAGAUCCGGCGAUGCACUGGAAAACAAAACAAGAAAUGCUCGGAUCCAAAGCCAAAGGCCUUGUGGGAAAGGUUUUGGUGGUGGUACAUAAACAUGGGUAGCAGUUCGAGUGGGAUUAUAGGGUCAGCAUGUGCCGCUUUCUCCCCUGGACGUGAAUGGGUGGCAGAUUGCUCUUCAGUUCCUACACCAAUCUCUUCUUCCGUUUCUACACCAAUUUCCUCUUGAUCAUCAUAACUUUUCCCACAGUUUAAUGGUUGAAUCUGAAAUCCUUAAUUGAUUCUUUUAAUGUACAACUCAGUUGAUUCCAAUAAGAUAGAAAUUUUGUUCUCCACCGGAAGCUCUUCUGGCACAUUAGGUUGCUCAAAACACUGUUGAUUACAUGCCCACAUAAAAUAAAGAUGUUUUUUUAAACCUGGAGUGUAGAACU
rnacentral:sRNA from 1 species